rnacentral:rRNA from 1 species
GAUGAACGCUGGCGGCGUGCUUAACACAUGCAAGUCGAACGAUGAAGCCCAGCUUGCUGGGUGGAUUAGUGGCGAACGGGUGAGUAACACGUGAGUAACCUACCCUUGACUCUGGGAUAAGCCCGGGAAACUGGGUCUAAUACCGGAUGGGAACGUCCACCGCAUGGUGGUUGUUGGAAAGAUUUAUCGGUCAUGGAUGGACUCGCGGCCUAUCAGCUUGUUGGUGAGGUAAUGGCUCACCAAGGCGACGACGGGUAGCCGGCCUGAGAGGGUGACCGGCCACACUGGGACUGAGACACGGCCCAGACUCCUACGGGAGGCAGCAGUGGGGAAUAUUGCACAAUGGGCGAAAGCCUGAUGUAGCGACGCCGCGUGAGGGAUGACGGCCUUCGGGUUGUAAACCUCUUUCAGUAGGGAAGAAGCGAAAGUGACGGUACCUGCAGAAGAAGCACCGGCUAACUACGUGCCAGCAGCCGCAGUAA